rnacentral:rRNA from 1 species
CAAUAGCGUAUAUUAAAGUUGUUGCGGUUAAAAAGCUCGUAGUUGGAUUUCUGCUUUGCGAGGCCGGUCACCACUACGUGGUUGUAUCUGGUUCUAGCAGGGCAUCCUCGUCAAAAUGCUUACUGUGCUUGAUUGCAUGGUGGUGUGUUGGCGACUUUUACUUUGAGGAAAUUAGAGUGUUCACGGCAGGCAAUCGCCCUGAAUAUAUUAGCAUGGAAUAAUAAUAUAGGAUCUGAUGCCUAUUUUGUUGGUUUCUAGGUGUUAGAUAAUGAUUAAUAGGGACAAUUGGGGGCAUUCGUAUUAAGGCGUCAGAGGUGGAAUUCUUGGAUUGCCUUACGACGAACUACUGCGAAAGCAUUUGCCAAGGAUGUUUNCAUUG